rnacentral:lncRNA from 1 species
UUUUUAAAAGAUAAAAUCUGGAUGAUAAAGUAGAAAUCAGUAAAUUAAAUGUAAAGGAAAAUGAGAUUCAUCAAACUCUUCAAAGGAAAGAAAUACAAAGUUUUUUGCAUUUUCUUUCAUUUAAACAAAACUAGAAACAUACUCUAUACAUAGUUCAUAUCCCUCAUUUCCUCAUAAUACAUAAACAAACCACAAUACAUAAUUAUACCCA